UCAGAAACUCAAAGGAAUUGACGGGGCCCGCACAAGCGGUGGAGCAUGUGGUUUAAUUCGAAGCAACGCGAAGAACCUUACCAGGCCUUGACAUGCAGAGAACUUUCCAGAGAUGGAUUGGUGCCUUCGGGAACUCUGACACAGGUGCUGCAUGGCUGUCGUCAGCUCGUGUCGUGAGGUGUCGGGUUAAGUCCCAUAACGAGCGCAACCCCUACCUUUAGUUGCCAUCAGGUUAAGCUGGGGACUCUAAAGGAACUGCCUACGCAAGUAGUGAGGAAGGCGGGGAUGACGUCAAAUCAGCACGGCCCUUACGUCCAGGGCUACACACGUGCUACAAUGGCCGAUACAGAGGGCAGCUACCUGGUGACAGGAUGCAAAUCUCCAAAGUCGGUCUCAGUUCGGAUCGGAGUCUGCAACCCGACUCCGUGAAGUUGGAUUCGCUAGUAAUCGCGCAUCAGCCAUGGCGCGGUGAAUACGUUCCCGGGCCUU
rnacentral:rRNA from 1 species